GUUAAAUAACUAGAGCAAAGAGAGUAUACACGUCAUCAAAUUUAAUCGACCAAUAGGAACUGUUAUGUAGCCACGUCAAUAAUUUCCCAAGGCCGAAGAUAGUUAUUUUCCAGUUCUCUGAUUCAACGUGGCCCAUUAAGUCGACCCACUCUUUCACAUUUAAUAAGCUUCAUUACUCCUUAGUCCUUACAAAGUCAGAUAUGUUAGCGUUCCGACUCCCAUUGUUCUUUGUUUAUAUAAACUAUACUUCUCUGAAUCUCUCUACUGUGUAUUCAAAACCUUUUCCUCUUCCUCUCAGCUGAAAUCUAUUCAAUCGCUCACAAGCACACACCUUUAGGGUUUCCAGAUCGAUUAAAGUACAAACGAAACGUUUUCAAACCCAUCCUUUGAUUCGUAUUCGGAUUGCUUUGAGAUUGUCGUCCAAGUUGUAGAUCUCAAGCCUAUCAGCAAUCGAUAUACGUAAGUUUCGAACUUUUGACUAUACAUCAGUGUUCAUCCUCUGAUACCAUCUCUGAGUUCACUAAUUUCAUCAUUAAAUUGGAUUGUAGUUUCACAAUUGUCUAUGAUUCCAUGGUAUCGAUCUGGAUUUACAUGUUCUUCUUGUGGUUUACAUGUUUAGCGCGAAUGAUGGAAAGACAAAAGUGAAAGCUAUGUUUACAGGUUCACUAACGCAUUAACUCAUUCCUGGGAAGAUCCGGAAUCUAAGUCUGAUUCAUCUCCUCAGUUUCACUGUUAAUGACAUCUCAAGCAAAUCGACAACAUAUUCGAUGUCUGCUUUGUUGUUUUCUUCACUUAUCGGUUGUAGCUCAGAUAAGAAGAUAUGACAUUACUGCAUUGAUCUUUUAUAAGAGCCACUAAUCCUACAACACAAUGCAAAAGCUGUGGAAUCUACGAGGAGAGACCACUUUUAUAUAUGAUUCAUUUGACGAAUGGGAGUUUUGUCCCUCUGAUUUCACAGCUGAGAGUAAAUACGUACACGUCAAGGACAACAAAUUCAAUGCUACUUUUCUCUGCCAUGGAUGCCACACAAGUUGGGGAUGAUGAAGCAUCCAUCCAUGAAGUUUUCCCGGACAGUUUGUCUUGAAGUUUUCGUUGCCACACUGAAGACUCUCCAGCUAUUGAGAGAGAUCUUUCUGAAGGCUCUAUCGGUCCCCAUGGACUAUAACAUUUUCCAGGCUAAUCAAACAUGUAGGCACAGCUGAACGUGCAAACUCUAGCACGGCUCUAUUGUUGUUGUUUCUCUCUUCUACUUCAGAGCAAAAUGUAUACUCCUUUGGCGAGGGGGCUUUCGUUUCGGCAAGAUUGCUCAACUUUCUUCUUAGUAAAAACGGUACAGAAUAGGGAUCUCAGGUGGUGAGAGGAAACGUGUGAGCAUAGCUCACGAGGUACUCAUCAACCUGAGCCUUUUGGUUCUUGACGAGCCCACGUCGGGGCUUGACGCGACGGCGGCUCUCCGGUUGGUUCAGACGCUAGCCGGGAUGGCUCAUGGGAAAGGGAAGACGGUGGUGACGUCUAUUCACCAGCCGUCGAGCCGUGCGUUUCAGAUGUUUGAUACUGUGCUGCUUUUGAGUGAAGGGAGGUGUUUGUUCGGUAAAGGACGUGACGCCAUGGCUUACUUCGACUCCGUCGGAUUCUCGCCGGCGUUUCCGAUGAAUCCGGCUGACUUCCUUCUCGAUCUUGCUAACGUGUAACACUAACACGUAAUACGGGAGGUGAACCCUCGGGAUGAAUCGGUGAGUUCGGUAACGGAAGUUACUUGAUGUCAUCGUCCGGUUUACUUCGGCGGUUGGAUAAGCGAUGGAAGUUGUGAGAAGGAGGAGAGAGAUCAAGAUCGAACGGUUCAGGUGCGUCGUGGACAUUGCUUGAUUUGGUGAGAGAGAUAGCAAGUUUUUGUUGAAGAAGGAAAAGUUCAAACUUUGUGGGAAAGAGGGAAGUAAAGCAAAUUGGGAUUUUAAUGCAAUGCAGAAGAUGCACAUGAAUCGACGUUAAUUAGUUCUUUUUGUGGUUCAUUUUCAUAGACAUAAAUAUAGUACAUGAUACAUUCCGAUCGAUUUAUUUCACUUUCUAUUGCUGUCUACCUGAUUAUUUAUAGUACGUAAGAAAAUGAUUGGUUUUAA